UACGUAGGGUGCGAGCGUUUAAUCGGAAUUACUGGGCGUAAAGCGUGCGCAGGCGGUGAUGUAAGACCGAUGUGAAAUCCCCGGGCUUAACCUGGGAACUGCAUUGGUGACUGGCAGGCUAGAGUAUGGCAGAGGGGGGUAGAAUUCCACGUGUAGCAGUGAAAUGCGUAGAGAUGUGGAGGAAUACCGAUGGCGAAGGCAGCCCCCUGGGCCAAUACUGACGCUCAUGCACGAAAGGCGUGGGGAGCAAACGAGGAUUA
rnacentral:rRNA from 1 species